UACGGAGGGGACUAGCGUUGUUCGGAAUUACUGGGCGUAAAGCGCACGUAGGCGGAUUUGUAAGUUAGGGGUGAAAUCCCGGGGCUCAACCUCGGAACUGCCUUUGAUACUGCAAAUCUCGAGUCCGGAAGAGGUGAGUGGAAUUCCUAGUGUAGAGGUGAAAUUCGUAGAUAUUAGGAAGAACACCAGUGGCGAAGGCGACUCUUUGGUCUGUAACUGACGCUGAGGCGCGAAAGCGUGGGGAGCAAACAGG
rnacentral:rRNA from 1 species